UGGGAAGCGAGCCUCAUCGUUGGAAAAU
rnacentral:piRNA from 1 species